UCAGGUUCAUGGGUGAGCCCCGAGCCCGGGCUCCCUCCCCGGCCCGCCGCAGCUCGGCCCCAGCCCCGGCUGCGGCCCCGGCAGCGGCCUCCGGGCCCGGCGCCGUGGAGCCCCGCCUGCCCUCGGGGCUGCUGCCGCCCUCUGGCAGCCGUGCCCGCCCCUGGGCGGCAGGAAGGGCAAGGGCCCGGGCUGAGCCGUGCCGGGGCAGGAGGCCGUGUGGCCGCAGGGCUGGCAGCGCCGCUGGCACGGAGCUGUGCCGCUGGGGCCGUGACACGCUCUGUGUUCGCAGGGACUGCCGCGGUGCUCAGGAGAGGGCAGCAGGAAGAGCUCCAGGUGCUCUGUGAGCCAUUCACGCCCUAAGGAAAGACACCAGUCUAUGCCUCAGUAAUCUGAAUAUUCAGGGGCAGUUUGCCAGAAGAACUGAGUAAUUGGGUUUGUCUUCAGGACGCAGUGAAACAGUGUCCCAAGAACAGCACCAGCAGCCACUGAAGAGGACACCACAGCCCACAAUGCUGCUGCAGCUCCAGGCACAGCUCAUGACUGGCACAGCUGAGCCUGUGGAAUGCUCACGUUGCUUCAGCUCUCUCCCUCCCUUCUGACAGCUCCUUACCUCCAGCCUUUAGACCCUGGCCAUCCCCAUUUUUUCCCUCCCAGCUUAUCCCCUUUGCUUCGCCUUGCGUCAAUAAACAGUUUGGCUUCUUCA